CUCGCUCUGGUGGCGUUGGCUAGCAACGGCGGAGGCGAUGGACGCGGCGGUGCAGCAGGCCCUGCUCAACUACUACUGCCAGGAGUGCUACUUUCACCAUGUCCGGGCCGCGGCGGAGGAGGCGCUGGGCCGGCUGGGCAGCGACCCGGUGUUCCACUUCUACCGGGCGUACGGCGCGCUGCGCACAGGUGAUGUCCAAGAAGGUAUUCGACAACUGGAAUCCAUUAAGAACAAACAGGAAGUGUCACUUUGUGCAAUGAUGGCACUGAUCUAUGCCCACAAGAAGAGCCCUAAUCCAGAUCGGGAUGCUAUUCUAGAGUUGGAUACAAAACUGAAGGAGCAACGAAAAACAGCAGGACAGCAGGCUCUCUACUUCGCUGGCUUAUUUUUGUGGCAUCUUGGUCGUGAAGACAAAGCCCGGGAAUACGUUGAUCGGCUGAUCAAAGUUUCUAGUGGUGAUAAAGAGGGAUUGAUUCUGAAAGCAUGGCUUGAUCUCACUUGUGGGAAAGAAACUCAUAUUAAAAAAGCAGUGAAGUACUUUGAUGAAGCACUGCAGGAAGGGAAUGACGUUUUUGCUCUCCUUGGUAAAGCACAAUAUUUUGAGAUCCGACAGAAUUAUUCAGGAGCUCUGGAAACGGUGAACCAGAUAAUUGCAAACUUUCCAAACUUCCUUCCUGCUUUCAUAAAGAAAAUGAAGCUACAGCUAGCCUUGCAGGACUGGGAACAGGCAGUUGAAACAGCACAUAGGCUAUUGCAGAAAGAUGCUCUCAAUUUAGAGGCUACAAGAAUGGAGGCCUUGCAUUUUCUGUGCAGGGAAGGAAAUGUACGUGAGGCUUCGGCAAGACUGAGCGACCUCCUUAAAGCGUUGGACAGGUUGGAGCCGAGUAACUCACAGCUCCGCUACAAAAUGGCGUUAGCUUUCAGUAGAACAUGUGGCCGGAACCAGCUCAUCCUUCAGCAUACACAAACAUUAGUAGAAAGAGCAUUUAAUUUGGAUUCUGACAAUGCAGAAUUUGCUACGGAGCUUGGCUACCAAAUGAUUUUACAAGGAAAAGUGAAAGAAGCUUUAAAAUGGUAUAAGACUGCUAUGACACUUGAUGAAACAAGUGUUUCUGCCUUAACUGGAAUUAUUCGUUGUCAGCUAAUACAAGGGCAGCUAGAAGAUGCAGAACAGCAAUUGGAGUUUCUUAAUGAAAUCCAACAGUCCAUUGGAAAAUCUGGGGAAUUAUCUUUCUUGCGUGUGGUCCUUGCUAUGAAAAAGCAGAAGAGACAAGAAGAAGUGAUUGCCUUGCUGAAUGAUGUUCUGGAUACCCACUUCUCAUCUUUGCAUGGUUUUCCUCUUGGUGUGGAGUAUUUUGAAAAACUAAAUCCUGAUUUCUUGCUGGAAAUUAUUAGGGAAUAUCUUAAUUUUUGCCCGGCACAGCCUGCAAGUCCUGGGCAGUCUCCUUCACCGCUUCUCAAGCACUGUGCUUCUGUUCUUGAAACCGUGGUAAAAACUGUGCCAGGUCUUCAACAAGCUGUUUUUUUAAUUGCAAAGGUGAAAUAUUUAUCAGGGGAUAUUGAGGCAGCCCAGACUAAUCUUCGUUACUGUCUGGAAAGGGAUCCUUCUUAUGCAGAUGCACACUUACUGAUGGCCCAGGUCUAUUUGGCUCAGAACAACACUAAACUCUGUUCUCAAUCCCUGGAACUCUGCCUGAGCUACAAUUUUGAGGUGAGAGAGCAUCCAGUUUAUCACUUAAUUAAGGCUCAAACCCAGAAGAAGAUGGGUGAAUUAUCAGAAGCUAUCAAGACCUUACAGAUGGCGAGGAAUUUGCCUGGAAUGAGAAAACAUGCAGCUUCCUCAAAGGCAAAAGGAAAAAGAAUUGAAGUUGAUACGAGUGACCGUGUGGCUGUCUUUCUAGAACUUGUAGAGGCUCAUUGUUUGAAUGGAGAACCGCAUGAGGCCACUGUAGUACUGCAAGAUGCCAUUGAUGAAUUUUCUGGAACUCCUGAGGAAUUAAGGGUCACAAUUGCAAAUGCAGAUCUGGCAAUUGCUCAAGGAGAUGUUGAACAAGCCUUGACUGUGCUCCGAAAUAUUACACCUGAACAGCCUUACUUUGUACAAGCUAAGCUGAAGAUGGCAGACAUCUAUCUUCAGUGCAGGAGAGAUAAGAAGUUGUAUGCUGCCUGCUACAGAGACCUAGUAGAAAAACUGCCAAGUGCUCAUACGUUUCUUCUUCUUGGUGAUGCAUAUAUGAAUAUUCAAGAGCCUGAUGAAGCCAUAGAAGUCUACGAGCAGGCUUUGAAGAAAAACCCAAAAGAUCCAGCUUUAGCAAGCAAAAUUGGAAAAGCCUUAAUCAAAACACAUAACUACUCAAAGGCAAUCAGUUACUAUGAGGCUGCCCUGAAAAGUGGUCAGCAGAAUUUUCUUUGCUAUGACUUGGCUGAACUUUUAAUGAAACUCAAGCAGUAUGCAAAGGCAGAAGUAGUACUUCAGCAAGCUUUAGAUCACGAGUAUGUAAAUGAACUGUCUUCUCUGAUGGAAGAUGGACGUUACCAGGUUCUGUUAGCAAAAAUUUACAGCAAAAUGGAGAAGAUUGAUGAAGCUAUCACUUCAUUACUGCAGGCUCGAGAAUUACAAGCCAGAGUGCUUAAACGGGCUCAGACAGAACAGCCAGAUGCAGUUCCUGCACAGAAACAGUUAGCAGCUGAAAUUUGUGCUGAGAUUGCAAAGCAUUGUACAGUUCAGCGAAACUAUGAAAAAGCAAUUAAAUUUUACAAAGAAGCACUUGUUCACUGUGAAACUGAUAAAAAGGCAAUGUUGGAACUGGCACGUUUGUAUCUUGCACAAGACGAUAGUGACGCCUGUCAGCAUCAGUGUUCCUUGUUACUGAGGAAUGAGCAAGAUAACGAAGCAGCAACGAUGAUGAUGGCUGACCUUAUGUUCAGGAAGCAAGACUAUGAACAAGCAGUCUUUCAUUUCCAGCAGCUCCUCGAACGCAAGCCAGAUAACUAUGCCACUCUCUCGCGAUUAAUUGAUCUGUUAAGAAGAGCUGGGAAACUAGAAGAAGUCCCAAGUUUUCUUUUAAUGGCUGAAAAACAUUCUUCCAGAGCAAAGCUUGAACCAGGCUUUCACUACUGCAAGGGGCUGUAUCUCUGGUAUACAGGUGAACCAAAUGAUGCACUCCGCCAUUUUAAUAAAGCUCGAAAGGACAAUGACUGGGGACAGAAUGCAGUCUACAACAUGAUUGAAAUUUGUUUGAACCCAGAUAAUGAAACUAUAGGUGGUGAAGUCUUUGAAAAUCUGGAUGCUGACAUAGGUAAUUCGACAGAGAAGCAGGAGUCUGUGCAGUUGGCUGUAAGAACAGCAGAAAAUCUUCUGAAGGAACUCAAGCCUCAGACCAUUCAGGGUCACAUUCAGCUGCGAAUCAUGGAAAAUUAUUGUCUCAUGGCAACCAAGCAGAAAUCAAAUGUCGAACGAGCACUGAACACUUUCACUGAAAUAGUAGUGGCUGAGAAAGAUCACAUACCAGCACUUCUGGGAAUGGCUACAGCCUACAUGAUCUUGAAACAGACUCCACGAGCUAGAAAUCAUUUAAAACGGAUUUCAAAAAUGAACUGGAAUCCCAUUGAUGCAGAGGAGUUUGAAAAGAGUUGGCUUCUGCUUGCAGACAUAUAUAUUCAGUCUUCAAAAUAUGAUACAGCAGGUGAAUUAUUAAAACGAUGCCUUCGGCAUAACAAGUCCUGUUGCAAGGCUUAUGAGUACAUGGGAUACAUAAUGGAAAAGGAACAAGCGUACAAGGAUGCAGCAAUAAAUUAUGAGAUGGCUUGGAGAUAUGGAAACCAAUCAAAUCCAACCAUAGGAUACAAGUUGGCUUUCAAUUACCUGAAAGGAAAGAGAUAUGUUGAUGCAAUUACUAUUUGUCAUAAGGAAAAGUCUGCAGCCCUGGAAGGAAUUGUAGCUAUUCUGCAGAAAAUACUGCUUGCAUGUAUGGUACAAAAAAUAUCCAGAAAUAAAAAAUAACAAAGAUAAAGACCAGGAGCAUCUCUAUAGAAUACUGCCCAAGUGCAUUUCAGAUAAACACACAACUUGGAUUCUAGUGACUGACUUACUGGAGGCUUUCAUGGAGAUGAAUAUUUGUCAUGUUUAAUUUGGAGUGUUUAGUCUUGCGUCUUGCAUGUAUCAUGGUUGUGGAUCUGUAAGGGAUUGGUGGCAUGCUGUGAAUGAAAGAACAACUUAACAUUGACAACUCAGCAUAAAAGGUACAUGAAAUACUGUUUGAAAUUGUGUGUAAUCUUCCUUUCUGUAACUGGGUGCAAUGUCUUGGGUAACUUACAGCCUUGUUUCCUAAACAGAUCGAUAUGUAUCCUGAAUGCAGCGAUGCUACCUACUGGGGGUUUCUAGAUCCUGCAUUCAAGGAAGUGCUGAGCUUUUGGUCAGCCAAAAUAAAAUUAAUGGAAACUAA